rnacentral:rRNA from 1 species
CUUGGUCAUUUAGAGGAAGUAAAAGUCGUAACAAGGUCUCCGUUGGUGAACCAGCGGAGGGAUCAUUACAGAGUUGCAAAACUCCCUAAACCAUUGUGAACGUUACCUUACACCGUUGCUUCGGCGGGCGGCACCGGGCUCACCCCCGGCGCCCCCCGGCCCCCUACAGGGCGCCCGCCGGAGGCUCUAACUCUUGAAUUUAUGGCCUCUCUGAGUCUUCUGUACUGAAUAAGUCAAAACUUUCAACAACGGAUCUCUUGGUUCUGGCAUCGAUGAAGAACGCAGCGAAAUGCGAUAAGUAAUGUGAAUUGCAGAAUUCAGUGAAUCAUCGAAUCUUUGAACGCACAUUGCGCCCGCCAGUAUUCUGGCGGGCAUGCCUGUUCGAGCGUCAUUUCAACCAUCAAGCCCCCGGCUUGUGUUGGGGACCUGCGGCUGCCGCAGGCCCUGAAAACCAGUGGCGGGCUCGCUAGUCACUCCGAGCGUAGUAGUAUUAUCUCGCUCAGGGCGUGCUGCGGGUUCCGGCCGUUAAAAAGCCUUUUUUACCCAAGGUUGACCUCGGAUCAGGUAGGAAGACCCGCUGAACUUAAGCAUAUCAAUAAGCGGAGGA